rnacentral:lncRNA from 1 species
CUGGUACCGGUUGUUCCUUUCCAUGUUUAGUGCUUCCUUCAGGAGCUCUUGUAAGGCAGGCCUGGUAGUGACAAAAUCUCUCAGCAUUUGCUUCUCUGUAAAGGAUUUUAUUUCUCCUUCACUUAUGAAACUUAGUUUGGCUGGAUAUGAAAUUCUGGGUUGAAAAUUCUUUUCUUCAAGAACGUUGAAUAUUGGCCCCCACUCUCUUCUGGCUUGUAGGGUUUCUGCCGAGAGAUCCGCUGUUAGUGUGAUGGGCUUCCCUUUGUGGGUCAACCCAACCUUUCUCUCUGGCUGCUCUCAGCCUUUUUUCCUUCAUUUUAACCUUGGUGAAUCUGACAAUUAUGUGUCUUGGGGUUGCUCUUCUCGAGGAGUAUCUUUGUGAUGUUUUCUGUAUUUCCUGAAUUUGAAUGUUGGCCUAUCUUGCUAGGUUGGGGAAGUUCUCCUGGGUAAUAUCCUGCAGAGUGUUUUCCAACUUGGUUCCAUUCUCCCUGUCACUUUCAGGUACACCACUCAGACGUAGAUUUGGUCUUUUCACAUAGUCCCUUAUUUCUUGGAGGCUUUGUUCAUUUCUUUUUACCCUUUUUUCUCUAAACUUCUCGCUUCAUUUCAUUAAUUUGAUCUUCAAUCACUGAUACCCUUUCUUCCACUUGAUCGAAUUGGCCACUGAAGCUUGUGCAUGUAUCACGUGGUUCUCAUGCCAUGGUUUUCAGCUCCAUCAGGUCAUUUACGGUCUUCUCUGUGAUGUUUAUUCUAGUUAGCCAUUCAUCUAAUCUUUUUUCAAGGUUUUUAGCUUCUCUGGGAUGGGUUUGAACAUCCUCCUUUAGCUCAGAGAAGUUUCUUAUUACUGAUCAUCUGAAGCCUUCUUCUCUCAACUCGUCAAAGUCAUUCUCCGUCCAACUUUGUUCCCUUGCUGGCGAGGAGCUGUGUUCCUUUGGAGGAGAAGAGGCACUCUGAUUUUUAGAAUUUUCAGCUUUUCUGCUCUGGUUUCUCCCCAUCUUUGUGGUUUUAUCUACCUUUGGUGUUCGAUGAUGGUGAUGUACAGAUGGGGUUUUGGUGUGGAUGUCCUUUCUCUUUGUUGGUUUUCCUUCUAACAGUCAGGUCCCUCAGCUGCAGGUCUGUUGGAGUUUGCUGGAGGUCCACUCCAGACCCUGUUUGCCUGGGUAUCACUAGUGGAGGCUUGCAGAACAGCAAUGUUGCUUCCUGAUCCUUCCUCUGGAAGCUUCAUCUCAGAGGGCCACCCUGCCAUAUGAGGUGUCAGUCGGCCCCUACUGGGAGGUGCCUCUCAAUUAGGCUACUCGGGGGUCAGGGACCCACUUGAGGAGGCAGUCUGUCCGUUCUCAGAUCCGUGCUGGGAGAACCACUACUCUCUUCAAAGCUGUUAGACAGGGAUGUUUAAGUUUCUGCUGCCUUUUGUUCAGCUAUGCUCUGUCCCCAGAGGUGGAGUCUACAGAGGCAGGCAGGCCUCCUUGAGCUGCAGUGGGCUCCACCCAGGUCAAACUUCCCAGCGGCUUUAUUUACCCACUCAAGCCUCAGCAAUGGCAGACUCCCCUCCCCCAACCUCACUGCCACCUUGCAGUUUGAUCUCAGACUGCUGUGCUAGCAGUGAGUGAGGCUCCAUGGGCGUGGGACCCUCUGAGCCAUGCAUGGGAUAUAAUUUGCUGGUGUGCCAUUUGCUAAGACCAUAGGAAAAGCGCAGUAUUAGGGUGGGAGUAUCCCAGUUUUCCAAGUACCAUCUGUCAUGGCUUCCCUUGGCUAGGAAAGAGAAUUCUCUGACUGCUUGUGCUUCCUGGGUGACCCAAUGCCCCACCCUGCUUUGGUUCAUGCUCCAUGGGCUGCACCCACUGUCCGACAAGCCCCAGUGAGAUGAACCCGGUACCUCAGUUGGAAAUGCAGAAAUCACCUGUCUUCUGCAUUGCUCACGCUGGGAGCUGUAGACUGGAGCUGUUCCUAUUCAGCCAUCUUGGAACCUCCCGCCAACAAUGUCUUUUUGUCCUUUUUGAUCUAUGUUGGCUUAAAGUCUGUUUUGUCUGAAACUCAGAUUGCAACCCUUGCUUUUUUCUGUUUUCCAUUUGCUUGGUCGAUUUUUCUCCAUCCCUUUAUUUUGAGCCUAUGUGUGUCAUUGCAUGUGAAAUCUGUCUCUUGAAGGCAGCAUGCCAAUGGGUCUUGCUUUUUUAUCCAGCUUGCCACUCUGUGCCUUUUAAGUAGGGCAUUUAGCCCAUUUAUAUUGAAGGUUAGUAUUAAUAUGUGUGAAUUUAAUCCUGUCGUCAUGAUGUUAGCUGGUUAUUUUGCAGACUUGUUUAUGUGGUUGCUUUAUAAUGCCACUGGCCUGUGUAUGUCAGUGUGUUUUUGUAGUGGCUGGUAACAAUCUUUUCAUAUUGAGUGCUCUUAUCAGGAGCUCUUGCAAGGCAGGUCUGGUGGUGACAAAUUCUCACAGCAUUUGCUUAUCUGAAAAGGAUCUUAUUUCUCCUUUAUUUAUGAAGCUUAGUUUGGCUGGUUAUGAAAUUCUGGGUUGGAAAUUCUUUUCUUUAAAAAUGUUGAAUAUUGGCCUUCACAUCUCUUUGGCUUGUAGGGGUUCUGGCUGAAAGGCCUGUCAUUAGUCUGAUGGAUUUCCCUUUGUAGGUGAGCUGACCUUUCUCUCUAGCUGCCUUUAACAUUUUUCCUUUCAUUUCAACCUUGGAGAGUAUCUGAUAAUUAUGUGUCUUUGGGGUGGUCUUCCUAUGGGGUAUCUUACUGGCAUUCUGUACAUUUCCUAUAUUUGAAUGUUGGCUUCUCUAGCUAGGUUGGGGAAGUUCUCAUGGAUAAUAUCCUGAAAUAUGUAUUCCAAGUUGCUUCCAUUCUCUUCAUCUCUUUCAGGGACACGAAUGAGGCAUAGAUUUGGUCUCUUUAUGUAAUCCCAUAUUUCUCAGAGGUUUUGUUCAUUCCUUUUUAUUCUUGUUUUUCUUUCUGUUCUUGUCUGACUGUUUUAUUUCAGAAAGCCAGUCUUCAAGCUAUGAGAUACUUUCCUCCACUUGGUCUGUUCUGCUAUUAAUACUUGGGAUUGCGUUAUGAAAUUCUUUUAAUGUGCCUUUCAGCUCUAUCAGGUCAGUUACAUUCUUUUCUAUACUGACUAUUUUGUCUGUCAGCUCGUGCGUUGUUUUAUUGUGAUCCCUAGAGUCCUUGGAUUAGGUUUCAACAUACUCCCGUAGCUCAGUGAUUUUCAUUUCUAUCCAUAGUCUGAGUUCUGCUUCUGUCAUUUCAGCUGUUUCAGCCUAGUUCAGAACCCUUGUUGGAGAGGUAAUGAGGUCAUUUGGAGGAAAGAAGGCACUCUGACUUUUUGAGUUGCCGUGGUUCUUUCACUGGUGUUUUCUCAUCUUUGUGGGCUUACUUUCCUUCAAUCUUUGAGGUUGCUGACCUUUGAAUUUUCUUCUUUUAUCCUAGUUGAUGACCUUAAGGGUUUGAGUGUGGUAUAAGGUGGUUUCAGCCCACUGGCUUCAUUUCUGGAAGAUUUUAUGGGCCCAAUGUUCAGCUCCCAACUCCUGAACUACCUGUGCUAACUCUGGGGAAUUUGUAUUGGGCCCAGACUUUGUUCUCUGGCUCCUUGAGGUUAAGAAUUCACUGCUCUGGGGGGUGUAAGGUGCUUGCAGAACGUUGGUCACUACACUCCAAUGGGUGGUGCCAGCCAAAGAGUUUUAUAGUGCAGUGACAGCAGGAUUCUCAUUUGCAUGUGCCAGCAGCAGCAGUAGCAGCAGCAUAGUGGGGUGCACACUCAUCAACUGCAGCAGGGUGCUGUUGGGUGCCAGUGUGCCUGCCCCGCUGUGGGCAUUCACCACAGUGGCAGAGGCAACACAGCUCAGGGAAGGGUAGGGGGCUGCUGCUGGCGACUGUGUAUGUGGUUGCAUUGGUGAUGGUGUUGCCUUGGGAGCACUGGCGGGCUCAGGUCUGUGCCUUCUCUGUAUUGCAUGAGCAGUAGUGGUCACUCAGGGCAGGAGAGGAUCUGCUGUUCUCUGUACCUAGUUUCACUCCCACGGCAGUGUUGUCACAAGGGCAGGGUAGGGCACUGGUGGUGGGAGUGGAGCUCGCUGGCUGUGUGCCCACCAAGGCUUUUUCUAAAUGGUGGUCAGCAGCGGGAGGGCGGCUGACUGCACUCUUGCUGCAGCAGUGACAGGGUGGGGUGUAUGCACACAUGCAUGUGGGUCGGACAAGGAAAGCAAAACCCGUCCCCACAGACAUGCUCCAGCCAAGCGAUGUGGGGAGUUGCUGUGGGCCCAAGGGAAGCUAUAGUUUGAGGAGGGAGUAUGCAGGCUGGUGCUUUGCCAUGGGGGCCUCCCUGUGCUGGAGCCCUCUUCUAGUCAGGCAGGGUCCACCAGCACAGAAGCUAUGACCCAAGGCUGCCCUGCAAGCAGGCAUGACCAGGCUGGGGCCCCAGGACUUUCAGAUUGUAAAGUCAAAUGGUGAGAAUAAUUUAUUUUCCUGAAAAGAUGACUUAAAAUUAGUGGAAUGGGCAGCAAGUGAAGUUCAUUAGCAUCUAAAUAGAAUUUGUUUUUGCCUUGCAUGGAGGAAACUUAGGCACACAUAGUGAGGGAGUUUCAAAUUGUAUUCUCCCCCAAUAGUUCACUUUUCAAUCUCAGGAUGCUCUUUAAUUAAAAAUUAAACAGGAUUUUAGGCCAGGCACGGUGGCUCACACCUGUAAUCCCUGCACUUUGGGAGGCCGAGGUGGAUGAAUCACUUGAGGUCAGGAGUUCAAGACUAGCCAGGCCAACAUGGUGAAACCCUGUCUCUACUAAAAAUAGAAAAAUUGGCCGGGCAUGGUGGCGCAUGCCUGUAAUCCCAGCUACUCGGAAGACUGAAGCAGAAGAAUCACUUGAACCUGGGAGGCAGAGGUUGCAGUGAGCUGAGACUGUGCUACUGCACUCUAGCCUGGGUGACAGAGUGAGACUCCUUCUCAAAAACGAAAAAAAAUUAAACAGGAUUUUAAAUUAAACCUAAAUGGCAGGACAAGGUGUCCUCCAGAGCAUGCACCCAAAUUGAGUAAACCGCCAAGAGAUCUCUCAAUGGACUAAACUUUCUGUAACAUGUUUGAGAGUGCAUUCUAAUCAUAAUUGUAAAAAAGUAGUUAAAAUCUAUGUUUGAAAAUUAAAAUUAAACAUAGAACCCUGAAAAUCUCUAUGCAACUUUAUCCCACAGAAAUUUUGAAAAACAAAACAGAGCACACUCCGUUGUUAUUAUAGCUUUAAAAUAUAGCAGAAAUAGUGGCUACAUUUUUGAAAGUUCAGUAAAGUUCAACUUUCCGAGCCAGAGCUUGCAAAGAGCAUAGUUGAGAAGUAGCCCCCAGAAGGGUGUGGCUAACACAGCCUCUGACUUCAGAGUCAGGAGAGCAAAAGGCCUUGCCUACUGCAACUUAUUCAUGUGAAUCAAUAACUCUUGUGUUUACCAACAUUUUAAACAAACUUGACCAUCUAGAGAAGAGUGGGCAGAAAUAGUGCUGUGAGGAUUGAUCUUCCUGUGGUUGUAAAAGCACAAUGAUCUUGUAUAAUUUAGUCUAUCCUGCCUUUGUAAACUUUGAAAGCAUGACGUCUUUAUAUCAGGAUCUAAUAAUAGCUAUUAUGAUGACUCUUCAUUGUCAUGAAAAAAUAUAAUUAGGUUUUCAUAUGGUCUAAGAAGGUAGGAAAACGAUGUAAAGAUUUGUGAAGGAUGUUAACUAAAAUAGUUAAAAUGAGUCCAGCCAUUAUGAGCUUAACUCAGGUACCUGGAACAUUGGCUUAUAUGGAACAUUAAAUUUCUGAAAAAAGCUCAAAAAAUGGGACAUGCAUGUACAUAUUCCUACCAUGAAUCUGACUCCACAGGGCUACAAAAUAUUUAACCUUCAUUUCAGGAGUGCUAGUGUGCUUCAGGUAGGUUUCAUACAGUUUAUUUGUCCUGACAAAAAAUCACCCUAUCAGCCUUCUCAUGAGCAUCCAGUGACAGAGAUGUGGAAAAGAACCUUCUGUGGGGAGAGUAAAGUUUGAAACAGUGAGGAACAGAGGAUGAUGUUCGAGAAGCCACAGGAGGAGACACCAGUGGACACCAGCAAGGAGAGGAGCCAGGGAGAAGGAAAUGGGGAAGACAUUCCUCAAGGAGCAGCUCUGAGCUCCGCGGCUUUGGGGGCCAUGGAGUCACAAGAGCUUAAGAUGUCCCUUCAGCACCAGCUGGGCAUGGGCAAUAGUGAGAGGAGAGGGUGGCAGCUAUGACAUCAGUGUUUGUGUCUUUACCUGCACAUGGGGAGAAAAUUCCAUCUGUUUCCCAUAAGUAGGGCCAUCUUUGAACAGAAGAGGCAGUUGUGUGUUUCCACAAAUGUGGCGACAUACAUUGUAGGACACGCCAAGACUUUGCUGUAGCCCAGCCAUAGGCUCUUAGACUUUGGCGGGUUGUUCUCUUCCCCCUAUCCCUUCAUUUCUUCUGUCCACCAAAAUGUAUUGAGUUCAUCCUGGGAGCCAGACACUGGUAGGUGCUGGGGAUAUAGGCAGGAAUGUGCUUUCAUGAGAGACAAGAAAGCCUGACCUUGCUGCCACAGAAAUUUCAUUGCACUGUGAGACAGAGAUGUGCCAAUAGAAAGAUCCACAUAAGAAGCAUAAGAAGAAGCAUAAGAAGAGCAUAAGAAGCAUUAGAACGGGCAUGAAAGUUCAUCCUCGGAGCCAGACACUGGUAGGUGCUGGGGAUAUAGGCAGGAAUGUGCUUUCAUGAGAGACAAGAAAGCCUGACCUUGCUGCCACAGAAAUUUCAUUGCACUGUGAGACAGAGAUGUGCCAAUAGAAAGAUCCACAUAAGAAGCAUAAGAAGAAGCAUAAGAAGAGCAUAAGAAGCAUUAGAACGGGCAUGAAAGUCCAUCCAGGGGACACUUUUUACCCAAAUUUGAGAGGCCAGGAGAGCUUCCUGGAGAAAGUGACAUGUAAGGCAAGACCUGAAAGACAAACCCAAUUACCUGGAGAGGUGAGGAAGGAAGAGGGACAGGUGUUCCAAGAAAGGCAGAUAGCAUAUUGAGGGGAGCAGUGGGAAAGAGAAGGGGAACUCCAGGAACUGAAGUGAUCCCCACCACCAGAGCAUGGAGUGUGAGUGAAAAGUCUGCAGAGGGCUGGUGACCGGGACCUCUGAACACGGGAGGCCAGACAGUAUUCUAAGAUCAACGGGAAACCAUUGCAAAGUUUCACCCAGAGGAGUAAUGUGAUCAGAUUUGCAUCUUAGAACAGUUGUUUUGGCACUUCUGACUGGAAGGGCAAGAAUGGCCAGUGUUGUUGUUACCUGAAGGGUAAAUGUGGCCCACAAUAUGAAAUGCAGUGAAGAAGGAGACAUAUGCAUAUAUGUAAGUAAAUAUAAUCGAGGUAUAUUUAGCAGACAGAAUCAAUAGACUUGAUGAGUGAUGGACUGGAUGUGUGAGGAGUCUAGAUCACUUCCAAGUUGCUGAUUUGGGCAACUCAGUACUAAUCAAUGAAAAAGAAGAUCCACAGGGAGGAACUUGUCUAAGGGGUGAGGUGGGGCUGAACAGCUGCGUUUGAGACUGGAGAAGUGUGUGCUGGGCAUGGGAUGCACAAGUGGAAAUGCCUUUGGGUCUGCAGCUCAGACGUGGGCAUGACCAGCAUAGAGAUAGAGAGGCCCCAGGCUGCCAGGUGAGUGUGAUCCCCAGGUGAUGGUGUCAGCUGAGAAGGGAAGGAAGCCCCUGUGAGGACACUGAAGUGGCGAGGGCAGACAACAAGGAGUCCACAGGAGACAGGAAAGGAAGAACUAGAGGGAGGAGCCAAGCCAGGCAUGUGUGGUGACAUAGGAACCGAGGGAGAGGACAUCUCAAGAUUGAGGGGACGCUGCACAACAGGAGGACUGUGUGGUUUUUGGCCACAUCCACAGGAAGUCACAACAGGCAAGGAAAAGAAACUGGCAAUCAGACAUGGAGUUGAGGAGUGAAUCAGAGAGGAGAUGGGCAGGGACAGCAGGGUGAGGCCUCUUUCUGAGGAAGUUUGGCUAAAGGAUAGAUCAGCUGGGACACAUGCUGGAAGGGUGUAUGGGGUGGAGGGAGGAACGGUGGAGGGCAGGAGAGCCUUGAGCCUGAGAGAAGAGUCUCCUAGAAUAGAGAAGCCGAGGUUAAAAUUGUGGGAGAGAGUGGGGAUAACUGAGUGACAGAUAAUCAGGAGAACAAAAGGAGCUCCAGAAUCAUGACAGAGAGAUGACCUUUGCCAAGAGCACAGCCCCCUCCCCUGUGACAGAGGGGUAGGACAAAACAAUUGGUGUUCAAGUGUUGGUUUAACUAUGUCCUUUAAAACAUUUCUCCACAGACACUGCCCAAAGCAGCCCUUCACUACAGUGGCAGAUACACCUGCAAAUCUUCGCCUAAAACAGUGACCUGACCAAGCUAACUGCUGCUGCCUGGAACACUGUCCUUACUUUAGAAAUGUCGACCAGAUUGUAGGAUACCCAAACAACCUUUUCAAGCAGAAAGCAAACAGAUUAAGAAAGUAGCCAGAUGAGUUAGCGAGCCCAACAGUGACUUUUGUUUCUUUUUUUCCCUGUUCCCUUUUCUUUUCAUGAUAGGAAAGGCUGGACAGGGAUGCGUUGCAAAAGCAGUGAUCUAGCUUAUCUUGCCACCACCCAGGAUGGCCCAGGAUGUGGGUUCUCCUUGAAUGAAUGUUUGGCAGUCUGGCAGCCUGACAUGGUCUGCCUCCUUCUUUGGUCUGAGCUUGCCCACUGCUUAGAAAGGGCCAUGGGCAGUUCUGUCAGGGAGUUUUCCCAACAUUGAGAAGGUGACAUUUCUACUCCCCGUUGCAGUCUGCACCUCUGACCUGUGGUCAGCAGACAGGACAGAGGCACUCAGUAGACAGAGCUCAGAGGACAGCACUCAGUCCCGGCGGAAGGUUCAAUGUCCAGCUUUGCACCCACCCCAUGUGACCACAAGCAGGCUCCAUGACCUUGUGGGUCAGUUUCCUCACCCUGUUCAGGAGGAAUUGUACUACCAUCCUGUUAGGAAAUUUGUGAGGAUCACUGCGUUACUCAUGUAAGGUCUUUGGAAAGUGUCAUGUUAUUGUUUAUUAACUGCUUGUUGGUGGCCUGGCUGAGCCACAUCCUUUAUGAAAACCAGAACCCCUCAGCAGGUGUGGAUGUCUGUGCAGCCUGAGACCCUUGUGUGAACAGCCUUCUGGCAGCUGUUUUUUCCCCUUGCCACAAUCAGUGCCUCCCUGUCCCCAGGCGUUGCUUUCUCUGCUGGGUGCUGGGUGCUCCACUGUUUUCCUACACCUCAGUUGUCUACAGGUGUAUGUCUGUUCUGGAAUCUAACUGAGGUGGCAUCGAUAGCAGUUCUGCUGUGGCACUGCCCUUCUUCUUAGGUUGUCUUUUGAGAGCAAGAGAGGUCCCUUCACAUACCCCAAGAACUUACCUGCAUUUGCCCACAUAGUCUCCAUUUAGAAAAUGGGAAAAGUCACGUCUGCCUACCUGCCAAUGGGGUAAGAGAACACAUCACUGUCGUUAAGAGACACAUGUCUGUACAAAUGACUUUGGAGAAUAUGCUUUCAGUUCACUUGGAGCAUUCCUGGGUGUGGAUUUGCUGGACCAAAUGUGCAGACUUCAGUCUUAGACUUCCCAGCUGCCUUGAGGGAUUGGAUGAGCCUUGGCCAGCUCUUGAAGGAAACAAUAAAAUCACUUUAAUGUGCUACUUUUCAUUUUGAAGUCAUUACAGUAUCAUUUGCAAAACUCAACAAGGAAAGAUGCCUGUGGAUGGCCGUGUUCUGGGAGUCACUGUGAUGAGGUGCUGCCUGCUUUCGCCCAACCUGAUCUGGGGCUCAGACAGCUAACAGGCCCGAGUGGCUAGGAGCCAGGUUCUCACACGUCCCUGAGGAACUAGAGAGGAACGCCUCUGGGAAGCCCAGCCAGAGCCAACCGGAAGGGCCUUUUGGUGAAGUCUGACAUCCUACAUUAGUUUCUCUGGACCUGGCAGAGCUCCCUGGAUAAAUCAUGAACAGAAGCAUCUAUGACCGACAGUUGCUCUGUGUCCUUCUAGCCUCGCAGGAGUUUCCAGCUCAUGAGGGCAGAGGAGAUGAAGAGAGGCCGAUCGACGUGAGGGUUGUGCAGGCGGCCCCUCUGAGGUGUGACUCCAGUAAGUACUCUGGAAUUACUUGCUGAGAAAGAAAAGUCUGGAUGCCAAGAAAGGUGUGACAUCCUUGCUGGCUUCAAUGUGAAGAGCCACCCUGAUUCUGGGAUUCUGAUAGGAAUAAGGUAGAUGAUGCAUAUCUGAACCUGGAAACCGCUUCCCACUGUAGAGCGUGUCUGAGUCAUGUCCCUUAGCUUCAGCAGAGCAGAUCCAGCAGGCUCUGAGCUUGGCCUCUUUGCCUGGAGCGAGACCUCUAGGUAAUGUCUCCAGAGAGGGUGGCACAAAGGAUCCUGGAUCUCCUGAUCACAGCAGCCCAAGAGUGCCGUGCGUGCACCAUGGCUCAAGAAGAAGACUUAAAAAGGGGAAACUCCUCCUGAGGGUGCUGUAGGAGACAUCUGCAAAAAAGAAGAUGCUGGCAAUAUGCCAUCAACCUCAGAGGGGAGUAUUUACCCUGAAAUGGCUCACUUCCUGAGGAACAAACUUGCUGGAUCUAGUGUACGGAAACCUGAUUCUGGGUUCCUUUGGGAAGGAGCAUUACGGGCCUGCUCCUGGACCACCUCAUAUCACCAGCACCCUCUACCCAAGGUCCUGGAGCCAACACUGGAGUAAAAGAGCACAAGAGAACUCCUUAGAGGUGGAAGGAUACCCUCUGAGGUCAAAUCAUUGGGCUUGUGGCCAUGAGACCACAGACUUUGCCUAGCUUCCAGUGACUGUCCGAGAUGACCUGUGGAGUGCACCGCCUGUACUUGGACAUCACUGUCUUUUCCGAUCCAUACCCGUCAUCCUUGGAAUUUCCCCUGCAUCCAAACCUGUUCCUGAUACAGAUAACCCUAAGGAAUAUCUUGGAUGUCUUCACGGGGCUUAUGACUUAUUCUGAGGUUUACAAAAUAGAGGCCCCCAGCUGAGCAAAGAGAGGGCUGCAGCGCCGAGGGAACAGCUGCCGGACUCACCGGAGAGGCCUCCUGGAGCACGCCGGGACCCCCUCCACCCCCUGGCUUUGGCUGCAUCCAUGGCUAGUUUGCCUGAACUAUAUCUGAGCCACUGAGAGUAUUUAUUAAGCAGAGAAUAAUUUUGAGUUUCACUUUUAUAACUUUUGUUUCAAAAGUUGUUUUGGAUAAUUUAAUGAAAUGACUGUAAACCAGAAUUCCCCUUUUCAUUAUUUCUUUGUGUCGAUAUAAAAAGAGUUGAUGAUUUUAAAAGCCAGUGAGAUGUCCCUGUCUGUGGAUGUCAGCGGGAGCGUGGGGUCUGAAGCCUUUCUCUGGUGGCUGUCCAGGAAGAUUGCCCCAGCUUGCACUCCCUUUUGGCGGGUUCCAGAGCCUUCCAUUUGAAAGGAGCAUCUCUCCCCACUCUGCCCCACCCAGCACCAGCUCUUCUGGAACCCACUGACUUCCUAAACACUUUCUUCCUCCUUCACCUCAUUGAAUUCAAGACUUUAGAAAACAGCCAAAAACUCUAGAGGUGGGGGUGGGUGUGAUCUGGAAAUCCCUGCUGUAAUCUUUUUAAGGGAAUC